rnacentral:rRNA from 1 species
GACGAACGCUGGCGGCGUGCUUAACACAUGCAAGUCGAACGAGAGGACAAGAGAAGCUUGCUUCUUUUGGAAUCGAGUGGCAAACGGGUGAGUAACACGUAAACAACCUGCCUUCAGGAUGGGGACAACAGACGGAAACGACUGCUAAUACCGAAUACGCUUGGGAGACCGCAUGAUCUACCAAGGAAAGGGUGGCCUCUACCUGUAAGCUAUCGCCUGAAGAGGGGUUUGCGUCUGAUUAGGCAGUUGGUGAGGUAACGGCCCACCAAACCUACGAUCAGUAGCCGGUCUGAGAGGAUGAACGGCCACACUGGAACUGAGACACGGUCCAGACUCCUACGGGAGGCAGCAGUGGGGAAUCUUCCGCAAUGGGCGAAAGCCUGACGGAGCAACGCCGCGUGAGUGAUGACGGCCUC